AGACAGAACCUAGAUGGGAGUUGCCGGCAGCAAGAAAGCAAAAAAUCAGGACACAAAGCCCAAAGCAGCUAGGAAAGCAGCGGUGCAUGGGAAGGAGGCAGUGGAGAUGGCGAGAGUGGAAGGACCGAAGUGGAGCCAGAGCAUCCGCGUGGUGCCCAAGGCAGCGGGGAAACUGGCGACGACGCAGCCGGCCAGAGCAGAGCAGAGCGCGGGAGCCAGGCUGAAUGCUGGAGCCCAAAGUAGUGCGCGAGGGGGACCAGCGUGCAACUGGGGAAGUCCGGGGGCGCCGAAACGCGGAGCAGGGGACCCAAUCGAGAGACAGAGCUUCGGGGUGCCUGCAGAGCCGGAGCCCGAGCCCGAGCCCGAGCCGCAGCCGGGCCGCCGCGCCGAGCCAUGGCGCCCACCCUGGCCACAGCCCAUCGGCGCCGCUGGUGGAUGGCCUGCACCGCCGUGUUGGAAAACCUCCUCUUCUCGGCAGUCCUCCUGGGCUGGGGUUCGCUGCUGAUCAUGCUCAAGUCGGAGGGCUUUUACUCCUACCUGUGUUCUGAGCCAGAAAAUGUCACCAACAGCACAGUGGGAGGCACGGCAGAGCCGGAGCACGAGGAGGUGAGCCGAAUGAAUGGCUGGCUCAGCUGCAAGGCCCAGGAUGAGAUGCUGAACUUGGCCUUCACCGUGGGCUCCUUCCUGCUCAGUGCCAUCACCCUGCCCCUGGGCAUCGUCAUGGACAAGUAUGGCCCAAGGAAGCUCAGGCUGCUGGGCAGUGCCUGCUUUGCCGUCUCCUGCUUGCUGAUUGCAUACGGAGCAAGUAACCCCAGCUCCCUCUCUGUGCUCAUCUUCAUCGCCCUGGCUCUGAAUGGCUUUGGUGGGAUGUGCAUGACUUUUACCUCGUUGACACUGCCCAACAUGUUCGGUGACCUUCGGUCCACGUUUAUUGCCUUGAUGAUUGGAUCCUAUGCCUCCUCGGCGGUCACCUUCCCAGGAGUCAAGGUCAUCUAUGACUUUGGUGCCUCCUUCAUCGUCAUCCUCGUGGCCUGGGCCGGCUGCUCCGGGCUGGUUUUCCUCAACUGCUUCUUUAACUGGCCCCUGGAGCCCUUCCCGGGGCCAGAGGACAUGGACUACACGGUGAAGAUCAAGUUCAGCUGGCUGGGCUUUGACCACAAGAUCACAGGGAAGCAGUUCUACAAGCAGGUGACCACGGUGGGCCGCCGCCUCAGCGUGGGCAGCUCCAUGCGGAGCGCCAAGGAGCAGGCGGCGCUGCAGGAGGGCCACAAGCUGUGCCUGUCCACCGUCGACCUGGAGGUCAAGUGCCAGCCCGAGGCCGCAGCGGCCCCCUCGUUCAUGCACAGCGUGUUCAGCCCGAUCCUGCUGCUCAGCCUGGUCACCAUGUGCGUGACGCAGCUGCGCCUCAUCUUCUACAUGGGCGCCAUGAACAACAUCCUCAAGUUCCUGGUCAAAGGCGACCAGGAGAUCGUGGGCCUCUACACCUCCAUCUUUGGGGUGCUCCAGCUGCUCUGCCUGCUCACGGCCCCUGUCAUCGGCUACAUCAUGGACUGGAGGCUGAAGGAGUGUGAAGACGCCUCUGAGGAGCCCGAGGAGAAAGACCCCAACCAAGGUGAGAAGAAGAAGAAGCGGGACCGGCAGAUCCAGAAGAUCACCAACGCCAUGCGGGCCUUCGCCUUCACCAACCUGCUGCUCGUGGGCUUCGGGGUGACCUGCCUCAUUCCCAACCUGCCCCUACAGAUUCUCUCCUUCAUCCUGCACACGAUCGUGCGAGGCUUCAUCCACUCUGCCGUCGGGGGCCUGUACGCCGCCGUGUACCCCUCCACGCAGUUUGGCAGCCUCACAGGCCUGCAGUCCCUGAUCAGCGCUCUCUUCGCCCUCCUGCAGCAGCCCCUGUUUCUCGCUAUGAUGGGUCCCCUCCAAGGAGACCCUCUGUGGGUGAACGUGGGGCUGCUUAUCCUGAGCAUGCUGGGCUUCUGCCUCCCCCUCUACCUCAUCUGCUACCGGCGCCAGCUGGAGAGGCAGCUGCAGCAGAAGCGGGAGGACGGCAAGCUCUUCCUCAAGCUCAACGGCUCGUCCAACCGGGAGGCUUUCGUGUAGCGCCCGCCACCACCUCGGAACUGUGGCCUCCUGCCUUGCUUCAGUGACUCACCGGGGUCCCCCUUCCCCACCACCCUCAAGAGNGCCCCGACACAUGAUUCUCCUACAGCUGGAAGCAGAGGCGCUCUGGACUUGGCACUGCCACCCCCCGAGGGGCCCUGGCGCUCGGGCUCCGUGGCGCCUGCAGCAGGAGCCAGGAGGACCCGGCAGACAGGCCCUCUCCCCCAAGUGUCUGGAUCCUGCCUCUCGCCAAAGCAGAGUCGGCCAUCCACUGCCCACCACCUGCCCCUCGGCUGCAUGUCCACCGACCACGCCUGCCUGAGGACAAAGGCUUGCGCUGCCUGCACCCCCCUCGCCUGGCCCCUCACCUCCUCCCCGGCCCGUCUGCUGCCUGAGGAAGGAAGGACCCGCUUCCUGUUGUUGGUGCUAACUCCUUUGUGAUUCCAGCCCCCUGUGGCCUGUCCGUGGCCUGUGGAGAAGCCCCCCUGGCGUAAAGCCUGGGGAGGGGAUGGAGGGCUGGCCGGUCAUCCCGCGGGCAGGGCCGCGCAGUCCGGACCUCUGCCCGCAGGGCCUGACCAGGGAGCACGUUUCCACUGCCACCCUCUGUCCAGUCUGUGACCUGAAGGGAGUGAAAAGGGCACCAAUAGCCACACACACACACACACUCUCUCUCUCACACACACACACACACACACACACACACACACGGCUGUUUGUGUGGGGGUGGAAGUGAGGCUGUGGCUGACGGACAUGGAGGUCCAGGCCUGGGUCAGGAAGUGGGUUUGUGAGAGACCUAGGGCUCUGUGCACACGUGGGUGUGUGUACGUGUGUUUGUGUGAGAGAAGUGUGUGUGCGGGGGGGUAGGGUGUGUGUGUUAGGGGGGUAGGGUGUGUGCUCCGGGUGUCUGCCCUCAUCCUCCCAGAGCCUCCCCUGACCGAGCCAGCCAGGCCCACAGCAGGCCCAGCGCCCAGGAGCCAGCCUUGCUGCGGGGCCGCAGCGCCCCCUGCCGGCAGACUCUCCAGGGCCCUGGAGCUGCUCCGUGGGAGCCGCUGCCCUCUGCCCGGCGGGCCUGGCUCACCAACCCACCCACCUUGACCGCCCUCAGAGAUGGGAGCCUUCCUGGAGCUCUGAGAGGAGUGGGUUGAUCAUGAGGUUGAUUGUUUUGGUUCUUUUAAGUUUUGUUAGACGCCUUUUUAUAAAGCAAUAAAUCCAUUUCCUCCUGGGAAGGGAUGCCCCUCCUGGCAUGUCAGUUAAUGACUACAUGUGCCUGUUUUGAGCUUGAGAAGAAAAGGCAAGACAAGGUUUUCUGCCGCUGACCGGCCCCAGUCGUACCCAGCUGCUCACCAUCUCUCAGAGUCUGACUGUCGCCUCAGGAGGGGCAGUGGGCCCGGAAAAGACCUUCCUCCCCCAUCCGCUCCCAAACAGAUGGGGCUCGGGCAGAGGCCUUAGAAGUGUGGCCGCUCUCCUCUGCUGCUGAUCCCGGCCAGACAGACUUCCUGUCACCACCUAGGCUGCGGGUUCCUCCUGAGGUCAGGACGCAGGGUGACCCCCGGAGAGCCGCAGGCUCAAAGGGCAGAGCCAGGAUGCAGUGGGAGGAGCGGGUGGACAACAGGAAAGCCCAGGCCCAGACCCCAGAGUUCAGUCAGUCGGGCCCCUUGGACGCACCUAAUCCCCGAGGCGUCCGUCCACCCAAGUUUUCAGAAGGAAAUCUUUGUUUUGAGCAAAUAGCUUUUGGAAAGGAAAGAAUGAAAUCAACUCGCAAAGCCUUCCUCUCCUCGUUGUGUGAGAUGUUAACAUUAUUCUAAGUUUUUUUUAAAGGUUUUGGAAUUCCUGCUGUGGCUCCACGGGAUUGGCCCAGGCUCUGGAGCCCCGGGACGCAGGUUUGAUCCCGAGCACAGUAGGUUAAGGACCUGACGUUGUUGCCGCAUAGGUCACAGCUGCACCUCUGAUCUCUGAUCCCUGGCCUGGGAACUCCAUGUGCCUCAGAGCAGCCAAAAAAAGAAAGUUUUAGAGUCCUAUUUGGGAAACGCGGAGAUAAGGUCCAGUGUUUGUUGGGCUGUGCAGGAGGGAGGAGGCUGUGGCGUGUGGCCGAGGAAUGAUUUUAUCAACCCCAGCCGCCCUCCAGGUGUGGUCCAGUGACCUCGUGCACUGGGAGCUCCGCGCUGCUUGUUAAUGACGUAGCUUCUGAGUCUUGCCUGUGACCAAGAGGGAAACUUGGAGACCGUGCUUGGCUAAGCCCCACCUUGUGAUUCUGGUGCCCGCCCCCCCAUCUCCCAGCAUUUGAGAUGCACUGAGAGGAGUGCGGUUGGGGGAAAUGCAGAUGAUGGGAAACUGUAUUGAGGUUGUACAGACAAGGCCUGUGCUGUUCCCAGCCGUUCCCAGGCCCCGUCCACGUGGGAGCGGCAGCCUCCGUCUCCCACCCACUGGCUGAGCGUGUGCACUUUGUGGGAAGAAGCAGGCAUCGAGAAACCCGAGUUCAGGGUGGAAGAUAGUCUUGGGCCAAUAGUGGGAUUAGAGGCACGGAAAUGGGAGCAGGGUACCAGAAGGUUGGGUACCACACGCAUCCCCCCAUUCCCCUGUCAGGCGUUUUGCUCUGACUGCAGGGUUGAUGGGUUACCUAUUUUCCUGUUACCGUCCCUGAAUCAUGUGAACGACGCAGGCGCUGAUACCAUCCUCUCUGUUUUAUAGCUGGAAAAAGCAAGGCCCAGGGAGGAGAAGCGACUUGUUAAGGUUAGAGUCAGGACUCCCUUAGGGUUCUUCAGUCACUGCAGCAGCCGAGGCCCUCAAGAGCAGGACAUUCCGCUCAGCAGCAGCCCCAGGGGCCACCAGGCCUUGAGAUGAGGGCGAAACAGCCUGAGGAGGGGAAGCAAGCACAGGCACCAUCUCGAGUUCUUGGAGCCAAGAGCGUCCUUGGAGGCCAGUGGUGACUUUGAGGGAGCAAGUCUCUGGUCAUCCCAACCCCUCAGAGGUGCGGUCUGGGAUGUGGAAGGGACCCUGGGGCCUCCAGGCUCCAGGCCGGAAGGAGUGGGAUGUGGUGCUGGCCCUGCAGCUUCGAUCCGAGCGAGGAAUGGGCCGAGCCGGCCUCAGGAGUGUUUGGGGGUGGGGGCCGCUCCUCUGGGCCUGAUCUAGGUUGGCCUCUGCCUGCGGCUCUGGCUGCACUCUGGGGGGCGGGGGCGCAGGUUGUGGACUCCUUUCUGCUUUGCUCCAUCUUCUUGCCCCUCCUGUACCCAGUAUCAGCCUGGUGCACUGGACUAAUCCUCAAGCCCUGCUUGUUCUGCCCUGAGCCCUGCGUCUAAAGAGGGCGUCCGCUGCCUGGGCCCCCAAGCACACUGAAAAUGGGGAGACAGCCAGUGUCGGGCAUACAGGUGCAGAACUAUGACAGAUACUCAGCCCAGUGAGGGUUUGGUUUGGUUUGUUUUGUCUUUUUAGGGCCACACCCGCAGCACAUGGAGGUUCCCAGGCUAGGGGUCGAAUCGGAGCUGUCGCUGCCGGCCUACACCACAGCCGCAGCAACGCAGCCCAGUGAGUUUUGAUGCAUUUGCACAUCAGCCUGCGUGCAUGUAAGCAGCUAUGCCACGGAGCAGGGGCCAAGCUCCAGGCAUCCUACAGUGAGGGGCUCGGAGAAAUCUCAGUGGAGUCAGGCUUCCAGGGUUGUUUGAGCAAAACUCCCUUCCCUCUGGGGGGAUAAUUCCGUGGGGUUAAGAGGAUUAGGAGCCCAGGACCCCCAAAGUGAGGGGGUUGGCUUUCCACAGGCUGGAGCCCACCCCCGGGGUGGGGUGGGAUCAGGGGGCGCAGGCAGGCUCUCUGCACUCAGGCCCUGGACUGAGGCCGCUGCGUGGGAAGGAGGUGCGGCGUCCUCGCAGCGCAGAGCAGACCUCUCCCCCCGCGUGUGGCCGCCGCCCGAGCCCUUGGCCUCUGCAGGCAGCAGGUCCAGUCCUGAAGUUCGUCUUGCUCAGCCUCCCAGGCAGAUCCCAGCCCCUCUCGUCCUUUCCCAGAGUCAGACCCCGUCUCCCUGUGCCCGGAGGCCUCGAGGAGAAGGGCAGAGGAGAGCGGCCCCCCCGCACGACGUGUCUCGUGCUCUUAGGCAAGUCUUGCGCCUCCGUGUCCUCACAUGGAGAAGGGCGGUAACACCCUCGCUGGGAGAUUGGACGUCCCCUGGGUGACCAUGGACGUGAAGCAGCGGCACAUCAUGGUACCCGGCACUUCGGAGGCACUUACUCAGUGACGGCAUUAUUUUUAUGCCCCCGGAGGAAUACGGGUGACCCAGGGCAUCAGGACCAGCCCCACCCCCUCCCACUCNNNNNNNNNNNNNNNNNACACCCAUGUUAGGCAGCUCUGACCGGGACAGGCUUGUGGCCAAGUAAAGGCGGUGAGGUCUGUCUCCACUGGCCCCCUCCCCUUCUCCAAACCCCUCUCCAAGCAAAAGCCUUAAGACGUUGUCCCCUUGUUCACUGUUACGUCUCUGACAUUUUGGCGAGAGGCUUGGCCCAAAAAGCUGCUCAAGCUGAUCUCCCGAUGGUGGACGUUCGGGCACCCUGACAGUUUUACGUCGAGGUGGGUGACUCAGCAUGACUUGUAGGCAGCACCUCCACACCACCUCCUUGUGAAACUGCCCGUGCCGAGAAAUGUGUGAGUGUGUGUGUGUGUGUGUGUGUGUUUGCAUGUUGAAGCUGGAGGCGUGUUUGGAGGAGUGUGUGGGAGCUUGUCUGUGUAUGCCUCUGGACCUGGACAAAGAGGGACAGGGUCUCACCCACUGAAUCCCUUUUGGCUGCUGGAAGGGCCUAGGCAGGCUCAUCUAAGGACCCAGCCCAGGUCGUCAGCGUGGUGCCUGAAGGGUUCAUCUGUUCCCAUGUCAACCAGGGUCAGUGCAGUGUCACUGAGGACUCAGUGGCUGACCCGGACUCUUCCUGUCCCUUUGCUGUUUCUAGCACCUGGCUUACUUCCGGCACACAGUAAGCGCUCAAUAAAUGUCUGCUGUGAAUGGCGAAGAACCAC
ensembl:lncRNA